rnacentral:tRNA from 1 species
GUGAAUAUAGCUCAGUGGUGGAGUGCAUGCCUCGCAUGCAUGAGGUCCCAGGUUCAAUCCCCAGUGCCCCCA